GUGAGAGUGCAGAGUGUGAGAGUGCUGUGUAUGAUGUGUGUGAGAGUGCUGUGUAUGAUGUGUGUGAGAGUGAUGUGUAUGAUGUGUGUGAGAGUGCAGAGUGUGAUGAGUGUGAGAGUGCUGUGUAUGAUGUGUGUGAGAGUGCUGUGUAUGAUGUGUGUGAGAGUGCUGUGUAUGAUGUGUGUGAGGGUGCUGUGUAUGAUGUGUGUGAGGGUGCUGUGUAUGAUGUGUGUGAGAGUGCUGAGUGUGAUGAGUGUGAGAGUGCAGAGUGUGAUGUGUGUGAGAGUGCUGUGUAUGAUGUGUGUGAGAGUGCAGAGUGUGAUGAGUGUGAGAGUGCUGUGUAUGAUGUGUGUGAGAGUGCAGAGUGUGAUGAGUGUGAGAGUGCUGUGUAUGA